rnacentral:lncRNA from 1 species
CAUGUUAGGUAAAAUUAAUCAAAAUUGGAUGAAUAGUUCUCCCAAAAAUGAAAUAGGUUUAUCAUAUGUUAAUUCCUUGAAAUGUCCAAGAUCAAUUUCCCCCAAACAGCAAUUGAUGAGGCAACAACUACUUUCAUUCUUGCAUAAUAACAAUAGAGAAUCUUCAAGACCAAUCAUUACUGCCUGUGCAGAGAUUACUGAUAUUCUAAAGGCUAUGAGAAACUCCAUUCAACAUCAUCCUCAACUAUACUUAGGGAAGGCAUUUUGAGGAUAUCCUUGAUUAGUUUUUGCUUAUUGAUUAGGCUCUGUGUUUUCAAUUUAUUGAUUUGUGAUAUUAUGUUUUGAUAUUAGUUUGUUACUUACAUGUCAGAAAUAAGUUUCAACCCUUUAUAUGUAAAAAUGUGUUUGC